GAGCAGUGUGGUUUUCGUCCUGGUCGUGGAACAAUGGCAGUUAGUCGGACUCGUUCCCUGUGAGAGUUGGACUCCACCAGGGCUGCCCUCAGUGAUUCUGUUCAUCACUUCAUGGACAGAAUUUCUAGGGGCAGUCAAGGUGUUGAGGAGAUCCGUUCUGGUGGACUUAGGAUCGCAUCUCUGCUUUUUGGAUGAUGUGGUCCUAUUGGCUCCAUCGGGACGUGAUCAGCAGCUCUCGCUGGAGCGGUUCGCAGCGAGUGUGAAGCGGCCAGGAUGAGAAUCUGUGCCUCCAAGUCCAAGGUCCUGGUCCCUCACCACGGUCCCAGGGAGCCCCAGGGAAGACCCAGGACAGGCUGGAGGGACCAUGUCUCUCAGCUGGCCUGGGAACGACUUCGGGUUCCCCCAGAGGAGCUGCAAGAAGUGGCAGGGGACAGGAAAGACUGGGCCUCCUUUCUGAAGCUGCUUCCCCCGAGACCCGACCCUGGAUUAGCAGCAGACAAUGGACGGAAGGACAGACGGGUGGAAGGACGGACGGACGGGUGGAAGGACGGACGGACGGACGGAGGGACGGACGGAGGAACUUUUUUCACUGAGAAGAGGUUGGAAAACACAAAAAGAUCCAACAAGCAAAGGGAGAACAUGCAAAAGUCAUUAUUCUCGGAUUUUGAAUGGAACGAACAUUAGCCACUCCCAGUCUGACCAGCUGAAAUAUAACAUCAAGCAUAAAGUAAUCAAACAUGACAAAAAUUGUGUUCUCUGACAAAAACCAAACGUCUUAUUCUGAGUUACUAGACUGCAGCAGAGAGAGCAGAAAAAGCAACAAUACUGUGACAGCACACCAGUGUCCUGCUGAUUGCACCAACAUUUGAUAGAAAAAAUAAAAAUAAAAACAAAGGGAACCAAACAGGGAGGAACAAAAGAGCACAUGGAGAAGAUUUACCUCUGUGCAUCCUUUGUUUUCUCAAAGGCACUUCGCUAACACACACCGUUGUUGAUGCACGGAAACGCAUACUGAGACGAAUCCCACAGGCUUAUUAAUACACGGAGCAUCACCGGGAUUUCAUGAGUAUUUAUCCUUAAUUAGAGCAGACACACGCGCAGCACGGAUACCAGCUCCUCCACCACACUCAAGUUUUAUUCAAUAUCCUUUGGAAAACAGAGUGUACUUCUAUAUAGCGAUGUGUGCUGAACCUUUUCCCCUGCCUCGCACCGAUUUGCCAUUUCCAAACUCCAAGACUAUCUGAAUAAUACCGUCGCUCCGUUAAAUGACAAAACCAAACACACAGUGCUCAUGUUUGCUG